AGAACAGCAGUGACUAGCAGCUGCUGGAAUUACAGAAGGGAGACAAAAGCUUUCAACCCUCUACUGCACGUGGUAUGUUGGCUACUUCAGCAGUGUGGCCACUGUGAGAGAGCUGGGCUAGAUGUUUGGGUUUUAGGUUCGUGCAUAGCUCCUUGUACAGAUGUCACUUCAGACAAAAUCAUUUGUCUUAAUUCUUCAUCUGCAAGACAGAUUUCUACUACCACUGAGUUAGGAUAAAAUGCGAUGAAAUAUAUACAAACAUUCAAGAUAAACAUGCUUUUAUAAUGCAGAGUAGUGGUGGUGUUCUUUGGAGAUAAGGUGAUAAAAAAUUCACUGUCUUUUGUUAAAGACGAAUAGACUCAAAAUAUAUGUACUGUUUAGAUAGGAUUUUUUUUAAGAUUAGAUUUCAAUGCAAAUCUGUUUUGAAGAUUAGUACAAUCUGAACUGUUUUGGACAUCUUUGUUUUGUAAAUUAUUUAAAUGAAACAAUUUUUGUAAAGCUGAGCAAAUUAUGCCACUUAUAAGUCAGAUUUUUUUCUUUUAUUUUAACAUAACAGCGAGGCAAAUUAAAAGUCGUUGUGCAGAGUGAAUACAAAGAACAAUGACUGAGAUUCUUGCUACUUAAUAAGAAUUGUUUAGUUCCAGACUUUAGAAAAAGUUAUCACUUUUUAUAUUUGCUGGUGGCAAUCAAAUGCAAGGAAAAAACAGUUUUGAAGAAAAAAACCAAAUAAAUAUUUCAAAGGCUAUGCAGAUCUAUUUUCAUUUUCACAGAUGGAAAUACUGCAAAGUUGAUUAUAGUAUAUUUAUUUUAUUCAGAACAAUCUCAGUUGGAUCUUUCCUUCUGUACAAAAAAAUGUAAUUUAGAUGAAAAAGUGUGCUUUCAUGUCACAUUGAUGUCCUAUGUGGCCGGCAUUUCAAAAUUGAUAGAUGAUAUACAUAAUCUUUUCUACUUUGUUAAAAACAAUACUCAAAUUUUAAGUUUGUUUCUCUUCAAUUGCUGUGAUAUGGCAGGGAAAGAGUAGAAGAUUUGGUCAGGAAUUAAGGCUGAAAGAUUGAUGUAGUCCAGAUAGUUGCAACAUGAGAAAGCAAGAGGGAAAUAGGUGACUGCAAAAAUACCAUCUUGCAUUGCUGAAGGAAG
rnacentral:lncRNA from 1 species